ensembl:lncRNA
UACGUGACGUUAAGCAUCCUCUCUGCAUCACUCUUUUUGUCUUUUUCCUCGUCUAUCCUCCUAUCUCCCUGUCCACAUCACAGCAGGGGAGCGAGACCACCACAGAGUAACAGUAAUGUCGAACUGUGCGUGGUGAAGACAGAUUGGGAGCAUCAAUCACUGUCAAACCAGUUUCGCUUCACACCCUCCCUGAAGGCAGACCAUGUCGGUCGACAGCUCGAGACCACCAUAGCAGUGAUUGAUUAUAAGAUCACAGGACUCGUGAAAGUAUUGUGUGUACAGAGAGUCUUUUCAGGUUGCUGUUGAGGACAAACUGCCUCACGCUGCCAGCACUCAGGGGGAAAAUUGGGCUACCGGAGCGUCCGAGUGCUCCUCCUGACGAAGAGCGGCGGGUGUGUGACAGAAAGGCCAAUAUAUUAAUUAGCACUCUGGCGCAACACAUACAGAAGGAAUGUCAGUAUUCUCACAUGACCCUCUCAUGAGGGAAUACGGGUAGAAUAUCAAAAAAUAACUUUUGAAUUUUGAAAGGGCUUUUGAAAGAUUUUGAAAGGGCUCAGCAUUCUCGAUGUAACACAAACUCUCGCUGAUUGAAAUUCAGGCUGGGACGUAAUCAAGGUUAUAAUCAAAGCUGAUGCAACAGAGGCCUUGAAAGAAGAAGAUUAAGACUAGGUCUUUCAUUCUUGACUGUAUUCUGAUUUUAACAGUUUGAAAAUGUUUUCAUAUUCUCUAUCUGCUAAGGUUUCUGGUUCACAGGUCACAGUGAUGUUAGCCUUUCCUCCACUAGAUUUAGCCACUGUUUUACACCCCCCCCCCCACCCUUACCAAAAAGUAGAAUUCUGUUUCAA